CACGUAGGGCGCGAGCGUUGUCCGGAAUUAUUGGGCGUAAAGAGCUCGUAGGCGGCCUGUUGCGUCCGCUGUGAAAGCCCGGGGCUUAACCCCGGGUCGGCAGUGGAUACGGGCAGGCUAGAGGUAGGUAGGGGAGAAUGGAAUUCCUGGUGUAGCGGUGGAAUGCGCAGAUAUCAGGAGGAACACCAAUGGCGAAGGCAGAUCUCUGGGCCGUAACUGACGCUGAGGAGCGAAAGCAUGGGGAGCGAACAGG
rnacentral:rRNA from 1 species